CUCGUUAAAACCUUCCUAGGACAAGAAUCCAAGGAGAGGAAAGAGUACCACACAUGUCAUGGACUAACAGGAGAGUCCAAUUCAGAUCACUUUGGACCAUUACAAUAAAAAAAACAAGUCAAAAACAAAACCUACCACAAAAACCUCCGACGAGAACCGCAAUUAGAGACCAACACAGUAGAUCCACAUAAGAGAACCGUAGAAACCCCAAAUAGUAAACCCACAGGAGAGGACCACAAAACAUCCCAAUUGUCAAAAGAAGCCUUCUAUGAGCAAAAUCAUAGUAUUUUGAUACUCAUACAAACUGUAAGUCAUACCUUAGCAUAAACCAAGAGAGAACAUGAAGGACGAACAUAGAAACAACUGUAAAAAAGACCCAUGAGAAGCACUCCACUUCAACUCAGAACUUGACAAAGAAAACCUCCUAUGAUCAAGCAUAGUUCUUCGGUUGGCGCAGAAUAGAGAAGAGCACCAUAUCCCAACAACUACCACCAGUGUAGCUGCCGCCGCCGCCGUUAAAACAGAGACAAAACAUCAACCACCAAGUAUCACAACUCUUCUAAGGAGAGACACAAUCCAACGUCACUAUUAUCGCCGCCUCCGAGACAAAGACAACACCAGUCACUUGGAACACUGCAAAAACAACAAAACAAAACAAAUAGACAAACAUACCUAGAUCCAAACAGAUCUAGAUUAUCUGGGGAGGGGAAUGGGAGGAGAAGAGGGGAUAAGAGGAAAGGAAAAUAUGGGAGAAAAAGAAGGGGAGAUGAGGAGAGGAAGGGGAAGAUGGGCUGAGGGGAGGAGAGGCAGUGGCCACCUCCCCCCCCUUAGCUUCC
rnacentral:lncRNA from 1 species